rnacentral:rRNA from 1 species
GUUGAACGCUGGCGGCCUGCCUUACACAUGCAAGUCGAACGGAAGCUCGGGUGCUUGCACCUGGUGGCGAGUGGCGCACGGGUGAGUAACACAUUGGCACCUGUCCCUUCGUGGGGGAUAGCCCGGCGAAAGCCGGAUCAAUACCGCAUACGAUCUACGGAUGCAAGCCGGGGAUGUUCGGGUCUCGCGCUUUCGGGUUGGCGGUUGGCCGAUUAGCUUGUUGGUGGGGUAAAGGCCUACCAAGGCGACGAUCAGUAGCCGGUCUGAGAGGACGACCAGCCACACUAUGACCGAGACACGUCCCAGACUCAGACGGAAGGCAGCAGUGGGAAAUGUGUGACAAUGAGCUAAAGCCUGAUCUAGCAAUGCCGCGUGUGUGAAUAAGGCCUACGGGAUGUAAAGCACUUUUGUCCAGAAAGAAAUCCGUGGCCCUAAUGCGGUCAGGGUAUGACGGUACCGGAAGGAUAAUCACCGGCUAGCUACGUG